rnacentral:rRNA from 1 species
AACGAACGCUGGCGGCAGGCCUAACACAUGCAAGUCGAACGCUCGUAGCAAUACGAGAGUGGCAGACGGGUGAGUAACACGUGGGAACCUUCCCUAUGGUUCGGAAUAGCUCAGGGAAACUUGGGGUAAUACCGGAUAAGCCCUUCGGGGAAGGAUUAUCGCCAUUGGAUGGGCCCGGCGUCGGAUUAGCUAGUUGGUGAGGUAACGGCUCACCAAGGCAACGAUCCGUAGCUGGUCUGAGAGGAUGAUCAGCCACACUGGGACUGAGACACGGCCC